UACGUAGGUGGCGAGCGUUGUCCGGAUUUACUGGGUUUAAAGGGUGCGUAGGCGGUUUGAUAAGUUAGAGGUGAAAUGUCGGGGCUCAACCCCGAAACUGCCUCUAAUACUGUUGGACUAGAGAAUAGUUGCGGUAGGCGGAAUGUAUGGUGUAGCGGUGAAAUGCUUAGAGAUCAUACAGAACACCGAUUGCGAAGGCAGCUUACCAAACUAUAUCUGACGUUGAGGCACGAAAGCGUGGGUAGCAAACAGG
rnacentral:rRNA from 1 species